rfam:Eubacterium infirmum F0142 genomic scaffold supercont1.1, whole genome shotgun sequence.
UGAAUUAUGCUAAAUCUAUGUAAGCAAGCGCAUUUAUAAAGCGUAUGCUGAGGGGAAACAGGUGAGUAUUCCUGUGCGGUCCCGCCACUGUGUUUCGGGUUAUAAUUCCGAUGAGCCAGAUUACCUCCAUAGAUUGUAUUUUUGUU